UUCAAACAUGGCAGCAGAGUGGGUGAGCGGAAGUCCCUUAUCUUCAUCUCAAAUGAUCGAAGUAGAAAGCAAAUUUCGUGUACCACCAGACUUUGAGAAAGUUCUAAAAUUGAAAGGAGCAAAACUUAUGCCACAAACUACUUUUACUGAUGUUUACUUUGACGCACCAAACCAUGAACUAUCGCUCAACGGUCACUGGCUGCGGAAACGAAAUAACAAAUGGGAACUAAAAAUUCAGAAACUGAAAAAUGAGCGGUGGAUCGAAAGCAACCGCGAGAUAGAAGACGAAAAUGAGAUUUUAAAUGAAAUUAUUAAGAGGUUGCUCUCUCUUUAUCCGAACAUUGGCAGAGAUUACAAGUCUGUCGAGGACAUGGUACAGGGAAGUUCCUUCAAACAGAUUGCAUGUUUUACAACGAAUAGAACUGUCUAUAAGAUGCCGGACGGAGUCGUAGUUGACUUAGAUCAGGCAAGUUUUGGGUAUCAAGUUGGUGAAUUGGAGGUUCUGGUAUCAAGUGAGAAAAGCGUUGAGGUGGCAAAAGAACUUAUUCAAAAAACUGCAGAACUUCUUGGUAUAGAGUGCAGAUUGAACAUUCCCAGUAAACUGGAGGAAUAUGUUUUCAAUAAUUGCAGAAGUCAUCAUGAACAACUUGUCAAAUGUGGAUUCUUUGUGAACCAACAGAGUUAAGACCAUGUUGGAUAAAUUCAGAUGAGUGCAAAUGGGUUACAAAAACCCAUUAAAAUGCUGGGGAGGACUUGCAAUGGACUAGCAUCCCAUUCAGGGGGGAGUAACAACACUCCUAGUGGCUUCAGGAAUAGAUGCAACACUUUGGCUGAGUGCUGACUCAAACUUUUACAAAAUCUUUCCAUUACAGUCUAUGCUUUGCUAUCUGGAUUCUGGAUCAGGGGCUGCCAGUUUGAGUUUAGACAGGAUCACUGUGUUUUAUUCAUGGGUUUGUUAGUUUACCCUCACAAUGUGUCCAGCCCCAACAAGUUGUAUCAAUGUGUUUUGGUGAAACCCAGAGGAACCCGACAAAAUGCAGAACAUGACAUAAUUAUAGGUCGCCAAUUUGGAGAAGUUUGUCUUACAGAAAGUGAUCUUUGUGACUUAGUGAGAUUGUCUGCCCAGUUUCAAACAGCUAACACAGC